AAUACCGCUUGUAGUUACUUUCUUGCCCUAGAGUUGAACUAGUAAAAGGUGCCCAUGCUGCGAGUGCAGUCGUAACGCUUUGACGUUGGAUCCGAGCCCAUGGAGAAAGUUGGAGCUGUAGAGCUGUAUGUUUUUGGACAAAGUCAUCAAUUCCAUUGCUCUUCCUAUGCCAAGUGGCCAGGAUAAUGGUUGAAAUUGCUACAAUAAAGGUUAUGAUCAACAACAUUUGUUGAAAUUUUGCAUUUACUUUUGGAAGCGCAGUAUAACGCAUUCCAUGCAACAUUACUAAUGAAAAUGAGUCGACUUAAAAUGCUUAUGUUGUCUGGAGCGCAAUGAAUUAAGCGAGUGCCAUGUCGGAAUAAACAGCAUUAACUAAUUCUUUGGACAAAAGAACACCGAUUUUGCUGAUAUGAAAAAUUCUUGUACACGGGGUGAU
rnacentral:lncRNA from 1 species